GACAGAGGGUGCAAGCGUUGUUCGGAAUUACUGGGCGUAAAGCGCGUGUAGGCGGCAGCGUGUGUCGGGCGUGAAAUCCCAUGGCUCAACCAUGGAAGUGCACCCGAAACUGCGCAGCUAGAGUCCUGGAGAGGAAGGUGGAAUACUUGGUGUAGAGGUGAAAUUCGUAGAUAUCAAGUGGAACACCGGUGGCGAAGGCGGCCUUCUGGACAGUGACUGACGCUGAGACGCGAAAGCGUGGGGAGCAAACAGG
rnacentral:rRNA from 1 species